rnacentral:rRNA from 1 species
GCCCAACUGUAAUACAACAAUUAAACCACAAAUUGUUCGCCAAAUAACUACGAGUUAAAACUUAAAAUUUAAAAGACUUGACGGUACUUCACAACAACCUAGAGGAGCCUGUCCAAUAACCGAUAACCCGCGAUUAACCCGACCCCCCCUAGCCCACAGUCUAUAUACCGCCGUCGCCAGCCUACCUUGUGAAAGAAAUAAAGUAAGCUAAACAAUACUACAUUAGUACGACAGGUCGAGGUGUAACUAAUGAGGGGGAGAAAGAUGGGCUACAUUUUCCCAUAAGAACAAACGAAUGUGAUCACGAAAAAAUCACUGAAGGAGGAUUUAGCAGUAAGGUAGGGAUAAACAUACUUAACUGAACCACGCAAUGAAGUGCGUACACACCGCCCGUCAUUCCUGCAAGACAUACAUACACAUAUAUAAUAAACUACCCACACUAAAGCAGGGCAAGUCGUAACAUGGUAAGUGUACUGGAAAGUGUACUUAGUAA